GGGGAUUUAGCUCAGUGGUAGAGCGCUUGCCUAGGAAGCGCAAGGCCCUGGGUUCGAUCCCAGCUCCG
rfam:Rattus norvegicus chromosome 8, whole genome shotgun sequence.